rnacentral:rRNA from 1 species
CCUACGGGAGGCAGCAGUGGGGAAUUUUGGACAAUGGGGGCAACCCUGAUCCAGCCAUGCCGCGUGAGUGAAGAAGGCCUUCGGGUUGUAAAGCUCUUUCAGCCGGGAAGAAAAUGCAUGGGUUAAUACCCUGUGCAGAUGACGGUACCGGAAUAAGAAGCACCGGCUAACUACGUGCCAGCAGCCGCGGUAAUACGUAGGGUGCGAGCGUUAAUCGGAAUUACUGGGCGUAAAGCGUGCGCAGGCGGUUUUGUAAGACAGGCGUGAAAUCCCCGGGCUUAACCUGGGAACUGCGUUUGAAACUACAAGGCUAG